rnacentral:lncRNA from 1 species
GAAAGAUGUGAUGACAAUCUCUGCUGUAGCUGCAUUCAGUCUCUAUGAAAUAUCCCAACUUAUUUCUGUGGAGUAGGUUUGGUCGGCUAGCAAUAACCAAAUGACAUGCCAACGUGACUGGUGCAACUGGUAUUCUACAAAGACAUAAGGAACAGGUAGACGAUUCCUUUUAGGAGAAGAUGACGCUUCUUCCACUAGCUUCUGUGAUAGGUGUGGCUUCCAACAGCAGUUGAUUGACAGUUCUAUAAAUCUUGUGUACAUAUCCAACUCCUUGCACAGUUCUUUGAAGUAGCAGUGUUCUCUUUAUUCCCUUCAGAGCUUAUCUUCCAUUCUCUAUUAAAAGAAUUGACAAUUCUAUAAAAAAAAAAAAAACAACAACAACAACAACAAACAAACAAACCAAAACCAAAACGAAACAAAAACAUAAAACGCUGUAUUGUUCAGUGAACUAAAGCACCAAAUAACAGGGGAAACUUUGGAAGUGUUGAGAAAACUUCCUACCAAAACUAGAAGUUGAAGGUGGUAAGAAGUUUCUGCUGUAUAUGAAUCUCUUAGUGGUAAAGGGAAAAGGCUUGCUAAUCCCUUUUUUUUUCCUGAAAUUUUUAUUCUGUUUUGUAUUUCUGGUUUGAUCCUGGUGCCCAUUUACUGCAAAGGAAGAGCAAACGUACAUGAUGUUUCUGGAAAUUCAGAAUGGACAUUGAUGCUUUGGACUUUACAUACAUUAUGUAUUAGAAAGGAUGCAUCUGUAAAUUGCUUAAAUACUAUGAACAUAGCAGCGAGAGAAUAACAAUUUUAAAAGGUAAGAAUAGCAAAAGAUACAUACAAACUUCUGAAGAAAUCAGGUAGAUGGUGCUACAGAGGAAAUAAUAUUUGGUGAUUAGUUAAAGGUAUGAAAAGUCAAGGAAAAAUAUCUUAAGGCAACCAGAUGGCACUGACCACAAUGUUGGUUUGUUUGUGAAGCAUUUGGACUUUUAAGAUAUACUAACAAACAGAAAACUAAAGUUCAAUAAUAAAGUACAAUUUACCCCCAAUUAUUAUUUUAGUUUGAGAUACCUAGGGCAUUUGCUUCUCUCUCACAGGUAGCUUCUAGACUUGUGCUGUCCAGUAUCAUCUCCACAAGCGAAAUGUGGAUACUUAAAUUUAAUUAACAUUAAACUUCAAAAUAGUUCAGUUCUCCAGUCACUAGUCACAUUUCAAAUGCUCGAUAACCAUAUGUGGCUUCUUGGCUUCUAUAUUGGACAACACAUAGCCUUCCCAUCGUUACAAAAAAACUCUACCACUCAGUGCUGUAGAGGUCUUUCCUUUUAAUUCCCUCUCCUUGAACAAAAAGGAGAAGGAAGAAAAAAGGGAAGAUUUGGAAGUUCUUGGGGAUAUCUAAGUGUUUUUGAUCUCAGAAAGGCAGCAUGGUAUGAAGAAAAGAAUGCCAGCUGACACAGCUUUGAGUCUCCACUGUGUUAUCUUGGGAAAAAUCACUUUAACUUCCAUGAGGUCUCAAUUUACAAUUUUGGAAAAUAAAAAUAUUUUUGUUCUGUCUCCCUUGCAAGGUUAUUAUUAUGCAGAUUGGCUAAAGGUACAGAUGUACAGACUUUUAAGACCUUAUGUCAGUGUUAACCCACAUAAAGCACAUCCUUGGUCCAGCAUCAGCACAAAUUUGCAUUCAGAGGAAAACAAGUCCAUCAAUCCUAAAAGCAUUCAAAGACAAUCAAAUCAAUACAUGUCUGGAGAAAAUGCCAAAGGAGAAAUUGCUCAAAUUUUUUUCCAUCUUAAUACUUUCUCUUCAUAUUUCCUCUACGUCACGUCUGUCCCAACUUUUACUUCUCUGCCAUGACAAAGUCCCUGUGGGUAUCCUUCGGCUAGCUCGGUUCUUUAUUACAUAGUCACUUAGUGUCUCUA